AACAGUGUGGUGUAGUGGUUUGAGCACUGGACUACAACUCUGGAGAUCAGGGUUCGAUUCCCUACUGAGUCA
rnacentral:tRNA from 1 species